rnacentral:rRNA from 1 species
CCUACGGGUGGCUGCAGUGGGGAAUAUUGGACAAUGGGCGAAAGCCUGAUCCAGCCAUGCCGCGUGUGUGAAGAAGGCCUUCGGGUUGUAAAGCACUUUCAGUGGGGAAGAAAGCCUUGGGGCUAAUACCCCCGAGGAAGGACAUCACCCACAGAAGAAGCACCGGCUAACUCCGUGCCAGCAGCCGCGGUAAUACGGAGGGUGCGAGCGUUAAUCGGAAUUACUGGGCGUAAAGCGCGCGUAGGCGGUCUGAUAAGCCGGUUGUGAAAGCCCCGGGCUCAACCUGGGAACGGCAUCCGGAACUGUCAGGCUAGAGUGCAUGAGAGGAAGGUAGAAUUCCCGGUGUAGCGGUGAAAUGCGUAGAGAUCGGGAGGAAUACCAGUGGCGAAGGCGGCCUUCUGGACUGACACUGACGCUGAGGUGCGAAAGCGUGGGUAGCAAACAGGAUUAGAUACCCCAGUAGUC